rnacentral:rRNA from 1 species
GAUGAACGCUGGCGGCGUGCCUAAUACAUGCAAGUCGAGCGAACGGACGAGAAGCUUGCUUCUCUGAUGUUAGCGGCGGACGGGUGAGUAACACGUGGAUAACCUACCUAUAAGACUGGGAUAACUUCGGGAAACCGGAGCUAAUACCGGAUGAUAUUUUGAACCGCAUGGUUCAAAAGUGAAAGACGGUCUUGCUGUCACUUAUGGAUGGAUCCGCGCUGCAUUAGCUAGUUGGUAAGGUAACGGCUUACCAAGGCAACGAUGCAUAGCCGACCUGAGAGGGUGAUCGGCCACACUGGAACUGAGACACGGUCCAGACUCCUACGGGAGGCAGCAGUAGGGAAUCGUCCGCAAUGGGCGAAAGCCUGACGGAGCAACGCCGCGUGAGUGAUGAAGGUCUUCGGAUCGUAAAACUCUGUUAUUAGGGAAGAACAUAUGUGUAAGUAACUGUGCACAUCUUGACGGUACCUAAUCAGAAAGCCACGGCUAACUACGUG